rnacentral:rRNA from 1 species
UACGGAGGGGGUUAGCGUUGUUCGGAAUGACUGGGCGUAAAGCGCGCGUAGGCGGACCAUCAAGUCGGGGGUGAAAUCCCGGGGCUCAACCCCGGAAUGGCCUUCGAGACUGGUGGUCUUGAGUUCGAGAGAGGUGAGUGGAAUUCCGAGUGUAGAGGUGAAAUUCGUAGAUAUCGGGAGGAACACCAGUGGCGAAGGCGGCGAUCUGGGAAGAUACUGACGCUGAGGCACGAAAGCGUGGGGAGCAAACAGG